rnacentral:rRNA from 1 species
AAUACCCUAUUAUUUUGAAUGAAAUUAUUUGAUGCUAGAUUAGUAGUAGUUAUGGUCUUGAAAAUUAAAGAAUUUGGCGGUAUUUUAGUCUAUUCAGAGGAACCUGUCCUGUAAUUGAUGGUCCACGAUUUUUUUUACUUAUUUUUUUAGUUUGCAUAUCGCCGUAGUUUGAACAUUUUUUAAAAAUUGUAAUGUUCAAUAUUUAUUUAAAUGGAAUAAAUCAGGUCAAGGUGUAGCUUAUAAAUAAGUAGAGAUGGGUUACAAUAAAUUUAUUUAAAUGGAUUAAUAAAUGAAAUUUUAUUAUGAAGGUGGAUUUGAGGGUAAUUUUAUUUA